rnacentral:rRNA from 1 species
AACGAACGCUGGCGGCAUGCCUAACACAUGCAAGUCGAACGAGACCUUCGGGUCUAGUGGCGCACGGGUUCGUAACGCGUGGGAACCUGCCCUUAGGUUCGGAAUAACUCCCCGAAAGGGGUGCUAAUACCGGAUAAUGUCUUCGGACCAAAGAUUUAUCGCCUUUGGAUGGGCCCGCGUUGGAUUAGCUAGUUGGUAGGGUAAAAGCCUACCAAGGCGAAGUUCCAUAGCUGGUCUGAGAGGAUGAUCAGCCACACUGGGACUGAGACACGGCCCAGUCUCCUACGGGAGGCAGGAGUGGAGAGUAUUAGACAAUGAACGAAAGCCUGAUCCAGCAAUGCCGCGUGAGUGAUGAAGGCCUUAGGGUUGUAAAGCUCUUAUACCCGGGAUGAUAAUGACAGUACCGGGAGAAUAAGCUCCGGCUAACUCCGUG